GGAUCACUCUCACAACUCCCCAUUUUUUCCUUGCUUCAGCCUGAAGAAAAACUCCCCCAACCGGAAGAGCACCAUCACCGCCCCAAAUCCGCAGCCCCACCGUGGCACUGCCCAGACCGGAAAUCCGCCGCCAUCGACUGGGCCGGACGCCAUCGCCAUCGCCACCGACCGGACUGGACCUCGCCACCGACGGCCAGGCCGAACCCCAACUCCAUCGAACGCUGCUACUCUGACGGUUCAAGCGCUGCUCCUCCACCAGUAGAAUCAAAACACCCGAUUUUCUUCAACGUCUGCUACUAACGUUGCCCAGGCCCGAUUCUCUUCAACGUCUGCUACAAACGUUGCCCAGAAUCAAAACACCCAAUUAUCUAGAUUAUUUGGGUUUUAUUGGUGAUAGUUGGAUUUUUUGUUUUGGUUUUUUUUCCUUCUAUUAAUUCAUUCUUCGGUCCUGAUUCAAGUGUAAAGUAAUUCUUUCAUAAGUUUUUGUAUAAUUUAAAGGAAACAAAAAUACAAAUCGCACACAAGGUGUAUGAUGAAAUGCCUCAACCAAUCUGCCGAACUAUAAGAUCUGUCAUGUUGGCCUUCUAUUGAGAUGUGUCUCCUUAUUAUUGUAAACUUUCAGGUGUUUGGAAUUCACAUUGGGAGAUGCUAAUGACACUUGUGUGGGAGAUUUCAUAGUUGGGGCUCAAACAGGAUCAACUUCCCAGAAUUUUUCGUUGGCAAGCAAUGGCACUGGCUCAGCCAAGAAAUUCUCUGUGACAUUCAAGGCAAAAACAAGUGCAACUCCAAUUAGAUUUCUCAGCUAUACAACAAUCCAGACAAGAGAUGGUGUAUACUGUGGUCCUGUGGUUGAUGAUGUAGUUUUGCGUGCUUCUUAUGGGCUGAAACUAGAAAUGCAGUUUAAGGUUCUGAUCUCUUUAUAUAUACUGGGAGUCAUUCUAUAAAUCCAUUGGAGACGAUGACAAGCACUUGUUUACUAUACAAGCUGAGCAGCUUGAUCAUUUGAGGAGUUACAUCGCCUUCGGUAGCAGAGGAAUGUCGAUCACAAACUUUCUGUAAAAUUGUCGAUUACUUCUGUAAUAUACACUGUUCUGUAUUUUUGGUAGGCUUCUGUUAGUGUAAUUUGUGUUGAGAUUA